rnacentral:rRNA from 1 species
CCUACGGGAGGCAGCAGUGAGGAAUAUUGGUCAAUGGACGAGAGUCUGAACCAGCCACGUAGCGUGAAGGAUGACUGCUCUAUGGGUUGUAGACUUCUUUUAUAUGGGAAUAAAAUGUUCCACGUGUGGGAUUUUGUAUGUACCAUAUGAAUAAGGAUCGGCUAACUCCGUGCCAGCAGCCGCGGUAAUACGGAGGAUCCGAGCGUUAUCCGGAUUUAUUGGGUUGAAAGGGAGCGUAGGUGGAUUGUUAAGUCAGUUGUGAAAGUUUGCGGCUCAACCGUAGAAUUGCAGUUGAAACUGGCAGUCUAGAGUACAGUAGAGGUGGGCGGAAUUCGUGGUGUAGCGGUGAAAUGCUUAGAUAUCACGAAGAACUCCGAUGGCGAAGGCAGUUCACUGGACUGCAACUGACACUGAGGAUCGAAAGUGUGGGUAUCAAACAGGAUUAGAUACCCGUGUAGUC